AUGGAUCAGGGCACCCACAGUCGAUGGAGGAGUCCAUUUCCCGGGUCGCCCAUGGAGCGCGUGGACGCGCAUGGCGGUGGCCUCAAGGCGCUGGAGGUGGACGUGGAGCAGCAAGAGGAGAUAAUCGACUUCGAGGCAGAGCCGCCGGGCUCCUCUGAAUCGGUCGAGAUCUCCAACCUCAAGAAGCGCAUGUGGAAGGACCAGAUGCGCCUCAUGAAGCUCGAGGGCCGUGCCGGCGCCAGGAGCGGUGCGCCGGCCCGGCGGCAGCUGGAGGACCAGGAGGAGGACGGUCCCGAGGCGCGGUGCCGGCGGAAGGCGAUGCUGCGCGCGCAGGACGGCGUGCUCUGGCACAUGAUGAAGAUGAUGCAGUCCUGCAACGCGCGCGGGUUCGUGUACGGCGUGAUCGACGAGGCCGGCGAGCCCACGUCCGGCUCCUCCGACAGCCUCCGCGGCUGGUGGAAGGACAAGGUCGUCUUCGACCGCAGGGGCCCGAAGGCCCUCAUCACCGGCAGCUCCGCCGCCGCCGGUAGCAGCAGCCCGCUGGGGCUUGCCUCCUACCUCCACCGCCUCCAGGGCAUCCAGGACAACACGCUGGGCUCGGUGCUCUCGGCGCUCCUCCAGCACUGCGAGCCGCCGCAGCGCAACUUUCCCCUGGAGCGGGGCCUGGCGCCGCCGUGGUGGCCGACGGGGAAGGAGCCGUGGUGGGGCACGCAGGGCGAGACGCAGGCCCACCAGGGGGCGCCGCCGUACCGGAAGCCGCACGACCUGAAGAAGGCGUGGAAGGUGUCCCUGCUGAGCGCGGUGAUCAAGCACAUGAGCCCGCGCUUCGACCAGAUGCGCAGGCUCGUGUGGCAGUCCAAGCGGCUGCAGCAGAGGAUGAGCGCCAAGGAGUCCGACACCUGGUCCAAGGUGCUCCGGCAGGAGGAGGCGCUCAGCGGCCGGCUCAAGAGCUCGCUUCGGAUCACGCCCCUCGACGACGACUACGACGACGGCGAGGGGCUGGAGGACGGCCCGGAAGACGUGGCGCGUGGCCCGCAUGACAAGCGCAAGUGCGAGGGCGUCCCGAGCGGCAGCUCGGGCGGGAAGUGCCGCCGCAGGCCAAGAGGCGGGAGCCGGGACCUGGCUGCGGUGGUGCCCGGGCUCGAGGCCGGAGUCCUCGCCGAGGAGAGCCAGAGCCCCAUCAACGAGCUCAUGGAGCUGUACUACAGCUGCCUGCAGGGGGGCGGUGCGGAGGAGAAACACGACGUGGCGAUGCAGGGAGCGCCGGGAGGCGUCGAUGAUGUGGCGCAGCAAUUCCUGAUGGAUGUCAUCGGGAGCUGCCCGGAAGUAGAUCAUGUGCUGCGCUUGAUGGAGGAGUGA
rnacentral:rRNA from 1 species